rnacentral:lncRNA from 1 species
GGGUAAGGAUGGGGUUGAGCCUAAUAACUAUUAGGUGAGGGACUCAAUGACGAUCUUGCACCUGUUUGUGAAUGGUGGGUCGGGCUUAACUAAGAAGUGUGGACAAUAACUGUUAGGUGAGUCCACAUAACUUAGAGACCAGUCGCUGCAACAUGCUUAGAGAAGUAUCUGGGCAAAGAGUUGCCUACGCAUCAGUGUGCAUGUUACCAAUAGCUGUUAGGUGAGGUGCAUGACAUCGGUGGGACC